rnacentral:rRNA from 1 species
CUACGGGACGCUGCAGACGAGAAUCAUCCGCAAUGUACGAAAGUAUGACGGUGCGAUGCCGCGUGGUAGAUGAAGCACUUCGGUGCGUAAAUACCUUUUAUGAGGGAGGAAGUUUAUUGACGUUACCUCAUGAAUAAGGGGCUCCUAAUCACGUGCCAGCAGGAGCGGUAAUACGUGAGCCUCAAGCGUUACCCGGAUUCACUGGGCGUAAAGGGUGUGUAGGCGGUGUUAUUAGUCGUUUGUUAAAGUCCAGGGCCCAACCCUGGGAAGGCGAGCGAAACGGUAACACUAGAGGAUGGUAGAGGUGUGUGGAACUCAAGGUGUAGGGGUGAAAUCCGUUGAUAUCUUGGGGAACACCAAAAGCGAAGGCAACACACUGGACCACUCCUGACGCUCAGACACGAAACCUAGGGUAGCGAAUGGGAUUAGAUACCCUGGUAGUC